rnacentral:rRNA from 1 species
CGCGAAUAGCUCAUUACAACAGCUGUAGUUUAUUGGAUGUUCCUUUUACUUGGAUAACUUUGUCAACCCAGAGCUAAUACAUGCACAAAAGCCCUGACUCACGUAAGGGCGCAUUUAUUUGACUAAAACCAAUGGACUUCGGUCCUUGUUUGGUGAAUCUGAAUAAAUUUGCUGAUCGCUCAGUCCAGUACUGGCGACAAAUCCUUCAAGUGUCUGCCUUAUCAACUUUAGAUGGUAGUUUAUGUGACUACCAUGGUUAUAACGGGUAACGGAGAAUUAGGGUUCGACUCCGGAGAGGGAGCCUGAGAAAUGGCUACCACAUCCAAGGAAGGCAGCAGGC